AUGACUAACAUUGUGUUAUGUGGUGGGAUGAGGAAAGAUCCUAAGGUUGGAGGUGGUGUCGGUAGAACUCGAGAAGUUGCCAAGAACCGAACCCAACACUCAUCAAGGUAAAUAGACGAAUGGAGUAUGCUAGUUCGGGAGCUUUAGGAGCUUUAGACGUUGGAUUCACUAUUUGCGUUUUUGUACUUUAAAUGACUACUUGUGGAUUUGAAUGAUUGUAACCAUGACUGACAUUUAUUUGGGUAUUCGUAACCAGGGGUAUUGUUAUAUUUAGAGUAUUAUAACUUUUGGGCUCUUAGUACCCAAUGAGAAUAAUAAUGAAUGAAUUAUGUUUUUCUGCAAUUUAAAUUAUAUGAUAAUAUAAUAUGCGUAAAGAGUAUUUUUAAGGAAUGAUUCCUGAAGGUUUUAAGUAAGAUGAU